rnacentral:lncRNA from 1 species
CCCACCCUCUUAGGAAUAAAUCUCUAUAAAUUAAUUUAUUUCCUGUUUGUUAAUUAGUAUAGUUUUUGUUACUCCUGAAGAUACGUAUCGAGGUUUUAAUAAAGUUUUAAGUGAAAGUCCCAAGUUUUUUGAUUUAAUUUUUAAUUUUUAACUUCAAUUCAAUUGCCAUAAUUAAAUGUUAAUUGUAGGUACUAUUUUCCAAAUUUACUAUUUAUUUUUUUCUUUUGCGCUCGAGUACCUACCUACAGGUAGCCAGCCAGGUAAUAAGCGUUCGUCCAAUGGGCAUGUAGGAGUGAUUACUAAUUUUUAAUUUAGGUACUUGAUUUCUAUGAUGAUGAAUAAAAAAGAAACACUUUUAUGGAUUUUACUCUAACGUGUAUUUCGGCUGUAAUGAUAUCAUCAAAGAGUUAAUAUUCUCAACUGGAGUUAUUAGCACUUUGACGAUGGAUAUUUUAGAGUGAAAUCUAAAAAAUAAUUUAGUGAAACAUAUAAACCAAGCAAGCAAGGUUUCUUUUUUAUUCAUCGUAUUCAUUCAUAGUAUUAAAAAGCGAUCGUCUUCGGCUUACCACAAUUUCGACUAUUACAUAAUGUCGUUCUCGUCCAACACGAAUUACGCCACUGUUGCCACCACAUUUACAAUGCUUAACGGCACACAGGAUUUCUUUUCAUAUUCCAUUCUCAAUUUACAUUUUGUCGUUUUAAUGUUUUUUUUCAAUUACGAAAUUUCAUUUAUUUUACUGCUGCACAUCUAAAAUCUUAGUUCUUUCAAAGCAAAUAUACAUGUCACAAAUUAGAAAUACAUAACUUUCGAAUUUUAUCACUGGGUGCCUACAUAAAUUUCGUUAAGCUUAAAAUCAAGGAGUGGGAAUAUAAGUAUGUUGGUAAUGAAGUAAGUACGUACUACCACCCUAUCAGUGGGUGGGGUAUCAAUAAUAUAUUAUAUGUUUUACCUUUUACUAAUCUUGUAUCUUCGAUUCUGUUUCAGCAUGACCGGUAAGUGAAGUACUUUACAUCCAACCAAAUAUCUUUUUAAACGAUGAUACUAACAAUUUUACCUAUUUUCUUUUUCAGGUUUCCGUGGGUCAAUCUUUCUCUUCUCGCUUGGGAAGAGAAAGAAGAACAUCGAUCGAUUAAAACAACCAAACAUGAUCACACAUAUCGUUAACAUCGCGAUCGAAGUGUAUCCGUCACGUUAUUGUUUAGUUGGGGUGUUCGUUGUUUGAUGAAAACAUUUAUUCUCCAUCCUCUUGAAAACCAUAAAUAUCUCCUUUUAAUAUUGUCGUGGUUCUGUUGUCUCGACUUCGUUAUCUCCACUCUUCUUCGUUAGAAAAUCAUAAUGAUAGGUAUCAGUCUUGGAGGCAACAGUCUGCUCACUUCAAUACAAACUUGGCGGAGGGUCAAUUUUUUGCGGUAUUUGCGAUCCAUCCCAAUGGGACUUUUAGCGCAAUGACAAGUGAAACCCACUAUAUACGAUUAUUUCAUUAGUGGCUUUCCCUUUCCAUUUUUCGUGUCGUUUUCGGAUCGAGUGAAAUGCGGAUUGGUGUUAGUGUUAAUAGGAAGAAGAUUAGUGUCCGCAGAGACACCAGGUCAAUAAACAGAAUGGGUAAAAUGUGCCUUCGGGCAUGUACAGGUACACGUUUGAGAGUAUGUUUUAGGAACAGGAAGCAAAUAGAAUAGAUCCGUGAUCCGAAUUGUACAAUUACAGUUUACAUAGAUGAUCGGGACGAGGAGGAUAAAAAAAUAGCACGUCGAAGAUAAAUUCCUACCUAUUAUGCAUGUUGGCGUUUUGAUUUUGGUGUUGGUGCUAAUAGGAAGAAGGCUAGUGUCCGCAGAGACACCAGGUCUAUAAGCACCAGAAGUAAUGUGCCUUUGUGCAUGUACAAGGACAUGUUUGAAAGUAUGUUUUAGGAACCAGAAGCAAAUAGAAACAUGGAGCUGUACGAUUAUGAUUUCCAACAUUGUUGGAAUCGUUGUUUACUCUAAUUUAAUUUGUGUCUUUAGUUUUAAUUUCUUUUCAGUCCCUGAACGAGGUAACCCUGUUACCGAAUAGUCCUUCGGACGCUAAUCAUCAUAUGUUGGCGUUAGGGUUUGAGCUGUUUAAAGUAUUUCAGAAACAUGGUACAUAGGUAUAUGGUUUAUAUUUGGUGAUAAAGUAAAAAGUAAAAAAACAUGGUACCUACUACGCAAGUUGAGGACUGCAAGGGUAUUAUGGAAUUGCGGGGGUGAUGGAGGGUCAUAGCCAACAACGGGCAGUUCCUACCGGAGCAUGGAAUAUUUUAUUGUUUGUUCGUCAUAAUUUCAUUUUCUUUGUUAGGGUCCGAAAUGUCGAAAUAAUCGACAAAUAAACCGUUCAAAAGAUUACAGGGAUGUUAGAGAGGACAUCAACAAACCAAAACCGGUUGGUUUACAGCCGGUGGGACGCCUUAAGCCGUUUGGUUGCUUGCUUCACCCACUGGGUGUUUUUAAUUCUUUUUAACUAACCUUUUGUCUAAGCAUCCAUUUCACAGGUACGAAAGACAUGUUGAGGCCCGCAAAACAGUUGAUGAGUUUGCGGGGGUGGUGGAGGGUCUCAACGCACUAGGAGGAGUUGGUGAUUUAGGGUUCUAAAAUGUAAAGUUAUCAAGAAAACCAUUGAUCUAUAAGUUCCACGUAUACCACCACCACUACCGUCCCAGAAGUGUCUCCAGCAGUUUGGAAGAUGACCAGGUUUAUGUCGAUGAGUAGGAAGGGACGAGGAAUGAUGAGAAAGACAAGACUACCUUUUCACCUACCGGCGGGUGUUCUAAAUUCCUUCUAAUUGCAACCUUUUGUUCCAGAAUCGAACGUGGAGGUCUCAAAGUGUCCCAGAGUAAUCGGCCAAUGAACCGUUCAAAAGAUUGCAAGGGUGUUAGAAAGGACUUGAACAAAUCACAAUUCGUUGGUAAACAAAUCCCAAGUAUGGCGCUACCAGAUUGUAUUACCGCCCUUGGAACGCCACAAGCAGUUUGGAUGCCUGCAACCAGCAUUGGGUGUUUUUUAAUUGACCUUUUCUCUUAGCAUCCACUUCACUGGUAUGAAAAGACAUGUUGAGGCCCGCAAAACAGUUGAUGAGUUUGCGGGUGUGGUGGGGGGUUCUAAACCAACCAGGAGGUGUUAGGGAUGUAGUGUUUGUCAGGGUUCUAAAGUGUAAAGUUUUCAAGAGAACCAUUGAUUUAUGAGUCCCAUGUGCGCCAUUACCACUAGCGUCCCAGGAGUGUCUCCACCGGUUUGGAAGAUGAUCAGAUUUAUUUCAAUGAAUGGGAAGAAUUAUGAGAAAGAAUCGAACGUGGAAUUAUGAGAGAGUGUGUUGAGGCCCGCAAAACAGUUGAUGAGUUUGCGGGGGUGGUGGGGGGUUCUCAACCAACCAGGAGGUGUUAGGGAUGGAGGGUUCUAAAAUGUAAAGUUUUCAAGAAAACCAUUGAUUUGUAAGUCCCAUGUAUGCCAUUGCCACUACCAUCCCAGGAGUGUCUCACUAGUUUGGAGGAUGAUCAGGUUUACUUCAAGAAUGGCAAGAAUUAUA